GUCAGGUGAUCUGCACGCACAGUUUCUUAAUUAUUCUUGUGUUGCUAAAUGCUUCUUCGAUUGUACGCGAUUGGUGUGCAGGGUUUGUACCACACGGAUUGUACAUAUUCUGCGUGAGUGAUGUUCCGUCGGCCGUCGUAUUCUUUUUGUAUUAUAAGCGUACUACAUCGGUUCUACAAAAAUUUAUUUUGCAUCAAGUAUUCGCCGUACCAUGGAGUUCCGCAUUAAUAUUAACAUAAACGUUAACACUACCCUUCUACAGUGCCCUGAAUGGGAGUCACUUCUACCGCUACCCUCGUACGGUGCCCUGAAUGGGAGUCACUUCUACUGCUACCCUUAUUGGGUGUCUUAAAUGGCAGUCACUUCUGUCGCUACCUUCGUACGGUGCCCUAACUUUUGUGAUUUUGCACCUUAGUCUGAUAUCGUAGAAGGACCAUUCUUGCGUCAGAUUGGAUUUUGCACCUGAGUCUGACAUCGUAGAAGGACCAUUCUUGCAUCAGAUUGUA